UACGAAGGGGGCUAGCGUUGCUCGGAAUUACUGGGCGUAAAGCGUGCGCAGGCGGUUUGUUAAGUCUGUUGUGAAAUCCCCGAGCUCAACUUGGGAAUUGCAAUGGAUACUGGCAGGCUCGAGUAUGGUAGAGGAAGGUGGAAUUCCCGGUGUAGCAGUGAAAUGCGUAGAGAUCGGGAGGAACACCAGUGGCGAAGGCGGCCUUCUGGACCAAUACUGACGCUCAUGCACGAAAGCGUGGGGAGCAAACAGG
rnacentral:rRNA from 1 species